rnacentral:rRNA from 1 species
CCCCUAGAUGUUCUGGGCCGCACGCGCGCUACACUGAACAGUUCAACAAGUCUUAACCUUGGCCGAUAGGUCUGGGUAAUCUUUGAACGCUGUUCGUGAUUGGGAUAGACCUUUGCAAUUAUGGGUCUUCAACGAGGAAUUCCUAGUAAACGCAAGUCAUCAGCUUGCAUUGAUUACGUCCCUGCCCUUUGUACACACCGCCCGUCGCUCCUACCGAUUGGAUGGUCCGGUGAACUGGUCGGACUGCUGUUUGAAAUUGCGGGUGCAGUUGAUUCACGGGAAGUCUAGUAAACCUUAUCAUCUAGAGGAAGGAGAAGUCGUANCA